rnacentral:rRNA from 1 species
AUUGAACGCUGGCGGCAUGCCUUACACAUGCAAGUCGAACGGCAGCACGGGUGCUUGCACCUGGUGGCGAGUGGCGAACGGGUGAGUAAUAUAUCGGAACGUACCUUAUUGUGGGGGGUAACGCAGCGAAAGCUGUGCUAAUACCGCAUAAUCCCUAAGGGGGAAAGCGGGGGACCGUAAGGCCUCGCGCAAUUAGAGCGGCCGAUACCUGAUUAGCUAGUUGGUGAGGUAGAGGCUCACCAAGGCAACGAUCAGUAGCUGGUCUGAGAGGACGAUCAGCCACACUGGGACUGAGACACGGCCCAGACUCCUACGGGAGGCAGCAGUGGGGAAUUGUGGACAAUGGGGGCAACCCUGAUCCAGCAAUGCCGCGUGAGUGAAGAAGGCCUUCGGGUUGUAAAGCUCUUUUGUCAGGGAAGAAACAGCAGCUCUAACACAGUAUGCGAAUGACGGUACCUGAAGAAUAAGCACCGGCUAACUACGUGCCAGCAGCCACCGUAA